UGGCGGCGUGCCUAACACAUGCAAGUCGAACGGGAAUCUUCGGAUUCUAGUGGCGGACGGGUGAGUAACGCGUAAGAAUCUAACUUCAGGACGGGGACAACAGUUGGAAACGACUGCUAAUACCCGAUGUGCCGAAAGGUGAAACCUAAUUGGCCUGGAGAAGAGCUUGCGUCUGAUUAGCUAGUUGGUGGGGUAAAGGCCUACCAAGGCGACGAUCAGUAGCUGGUCUGAGAGGAUGAGCAGCCACACUGGGACUGAGACACGGCCCAGACUCCUACGGGAGGCAGCAGUGGGGAAUUUUCCGCAAUGGGCGAAAGCCUGACGGAGCAACGCCGCGUGAGGGAGGAAGGUCCUUGGAUUGUAAACCUCUUUUCUCAAGGAAGAAGUUCUGACGGUACUUGAGGAAUCAGCCUCGGCUAACUCCGUGCCAGCAGCCGCGGUAAUACGGGGGAGGCAAGCGUUAUCCGGAAUUAUUGGGCGUAAAGCGUCCGCAGGUGGUCAGCCAAGUCUGCCGUCAAAUCAGGUUGCUUAACGACCUAAAGGCGGUGGAAACUGGCAGACUAGAGAGCAGUAGGGGUAGCAGGAAUUCCCAGUGUAGCGGUGAAAUGCGUAGAGAUUGGGAAGAACAUCGGUGGCGAAAGCGUGCUACUGGGCUGUAUCUGACACUCAGGGACGAAAGCUAGGGGAGCGAAAGGGAUUAGAUACCCCUGUAGUCCUAGCCGUAAACGAUGGAUACUAGGCGUGGCUUGUAUCGACCCGA
rnacentral:rRNA from 1 species